GCCACGGUCGCAUAAUCCGGUAGUGCGGCAGCCUUGAGAGCUGCUCCCUUCGGGGAUUCUCGGUUCAAAUCCGAGCCGUGGCG
rnacentral:tRNA from 1 species